rnacentral:rRNA from 1 species
UACGGGGGGAGCAAGCGUUGUUCGGAUUUACUGGGCGUAAAGGGCGCGUAGGCGGCCUGUGCAAGUCAGUUGUGAAAUCUCCGGGCUUAACUCGGAACGGUCAACUGAUACUGCUCGGCUAGAGUGCGGAAGGGGCAACUGGAAUUCUCGGUGUAGCGGUGAAAUGCGUAGAUAUCGAGAGGAACACCUGCGGCGAAGGCGGGUUGCUGGGCUGACACUGACGCUGAAGCGCGAAAGCUAGGGGAGCGAACGGG